GAUGAAGAACGGAGCGAAAUGCGAUAAGUAAUGUGAAUUGCAGAAUUCAGUGAAUCAUCGAAUCUUUGAACGCACCUUGCGCUCUUUGGUAUUCCGAAGAGCAUGCCUGUUUGAGUGUCAUGAAAAUAUCAACCUUGACUUGGGUUUUGUGCUCUAGUCUCGGCUUGGAAUUGGGUGCUUGCCGCUUUUACGAGCGGCUCACCUUAAAUGUAUUAGCUGGAUCUGUCUUUGAGACUUGGUUUGACUUGGCGUAAUAAGUAUUUCGCUAAGGACAUUCUUCGGAGUGGCCUCGUUUCUAGGACGCUUGUCCGCUUUCCAAUACAAGUUCCACCUCGUGGACAUGACUUUUUAUUAUCUGGCCUCAAAUCAGGCAGGACUACCCGCUGAACUUAAGCAUAUCAAUAAGCGGAGGA
rnacentral:misc_RNA from 1 species